rnacentral:rRNA from 1 species
AGUGAACGCUGGCGGUAGGCCUAACACAUGCAAGUCGAACGGCAGCACAGUAAGAGCUUGCUCUUACGGGUGGCGAGUGGCGGACGGGUGAGGAAUACAUCGGAAUCUACUUUUUCGUGGGGGGUAACGUAGGGAAACUUACGCUAAUACCGCAUACGACCUACGGGUGAAAGCAGGGGAUCUUCGGACCUUGCGCGAUUGAAUGAGCCGAUGUCGGAUUAGCUAGUUGGCGGGGUAAAGGCCCACCAAGGCGACGAUCCGUAGCUGGUCUGAGAGGAUGAAUCGGCCCAAUUGAACCUGAGAAACGUUCCGGCCUCUUAGGGGAGGCGGAGGGGGGAAUAAUGGGAAAAUGGGCGAAGGCCUGUCCAGGCAAUACGGCGUGGUUAAGGAGGCCUUUCGGUUUGUAAAGCCCUUUUGUUGGGAAAGAAAAGAAGAGGGUUAAUACCCCGCUGUUCUGCCGGUACCAAAAGAAUAAGCACCGCCUAACUUCGU